AUUGAACGCUGGCGGCAUGCCUUACACAUGCAAGUCGAACGGCAGCACGGGAGCAAUCCUGGUGGCGAGUGGCGAACGGGUGAGUAAUAUAUCGGAACGUGCCCAGUCGUGGGGGAUAACGCAGCGAAAGCUGUGCUAAUACCGCAUACGAUCUACGGAUGAAAGCGGGGGAUCGCAAGACCUCGCGCGAUUGGAGCGGCCGAUAUCAGAUUAGCUAGUUGGUGGGGUAAAAGCCCACCAAGGCGACGAUCUGUAGCUGGUCUGAGAGGACGACCAGCCACACUGGAACUGAGACACGGUCCAGACUCCUACGGGAGGCAGCAGUGGGGAAUUUUGGACAAUGGGCGCAAGCCUGAUCCAGCAAUGCCGCGUGCAGGAUGAAGGCCUUCGGGUUGUAAACUGCUUUUGUACGGAGCGAAACGGCUUCCCCUAAUACGGGGAGCUAAUGACGGUACCGUAAGAAUAAGCACCGGCUAACUACGUGCCAGCAGCCGCGGUAAUACGUAGGGUGCGAGCGUUAAUCGGAAUUACUGGGCGUAAAGCGUGCGCAGGCGGUUAUAUAAGACAGAUGUGAAAUCCCCGGGCUCAACCUGGGACCUGCAUUUGUGACUGUAUAGCUAGAGUACGGUAGAGGGGGAUGGAAUUCCGCGUGUAGCAGUGAAAUGCGUAGAUAUGCGGAGGAACACCGAUGGCGAAGGC
rnacentral:rRNA from 1 species